rnacentral:lncRNA from 1 species
AUUGAAGCAUAUUAUCAGAGAAGAGGAUGGUGAAAGGGAAAUAAUUCCAGAGUCUCCUUGCUUCCCACAAUUAAAAAAUAUCUACAUAUAUUUCUGUGAUAAACUGGAAUAUGUCUUCCCAGUCUCUUUGUCUCAUAACAGAGAUGGCAUCAUCAAGUUCCCUCAACUAAGAGAAUUGUCUCUUGGGCUCAGAUCAAAUUACAGCUUUUUAGGUCCAAGGAAUUUUGAUGCUCAAUUGCCUUUGCAAUACUUAGCCAUUCAAGGCCACGAAGAAGUGGGUAAUUGGUUGGCACAGCUACAAGUACGUAAUUUAUAUUUCUCCACUAAUUUAAAUUGUCAAUUGCGAUAAUUUAUGCUUUCUUCCUCCCGAUUUCUUAAAGUAAAGUAAAUUAAAUUGGCUUAUUUUUAUUUUUAUCUAAACAUAUAUAAAUAUAAGAAACUUAACUGCCUCAUUGUUGUCUGCGUUAUUAAAAAUUAAUCAUAUGGAAUAACAUAUUAUCUGUUAGAUUUAACUGCCUCAUUUGAAAUAUAUUAUCUGUUAGAUUUAACUGCCUCAUGGUUUACGUAAUUUAUAUUAUAUCUGUUAGAUUUAUUCUUUCUUCGUCACUGCUUAUUUUUUUGUUUUAUCUAAACAUAUAUAAAUAUAAGAAACUUAAUACCAACAAUUAAUCAUAGAAAUCAUAUUAGCUUAUUUUGUGUUCAAAUAUUUAAUUCAAUUAAAAUAUCUUUAAAAAUUUAUUAACUUUAUAACUAAAAUAAAAAUAUUAGGUACUAUUUUUAUUUUUAUUUUUUACAUGAAACUAAUUAUUAGGAGUUGUAGUAACCUUUUUUCGCAAAAAUCUAAUUAUUAUUUAACUUAUCUCUAAUUAAGAAAAAAACUGAAACAAUAAUAUGUAAUCUCUAAAAAGUAUGUAAUCCUGUUUUUUCUUUUUUUUUCUCAUCAUAUAAAUUGUUUUUAUGAGUGAAAAAAUAUAAUAUUGUUCUCUGAUAAGAUGGCCGUCCAUGGGCAGCAAAACGGCUUCUUACAAAGAUUAGAAUUUGUACGAGUGGACGAUUGUGGGGAUGUUCGCCCUCCGUUUCCAGCAAAAUUGCUGCGAGCUUUGAAAAAUCUAAAGAGUGUGGAAAUUGAGGACUGCAAAUCAUUGGAAGAGGUAUUUGAAUUAGGUGAGCCUGAUGAAGGAAGUAGUGAGGAGAAGGAGCUGCUGUCAUCUUUAACAAUGUUAGAUCUGCAAAGGUUACCUGAGGUCAAAUGCAUAUGGAAGGGGCCCACCAGAUAUGUCAGCCUCCAAAGUCUUAAUAUUCUGAAAUUGAGAUCUCUCGACAAACUGACAUUUAUCUUCACACCGUCCCUGGCUCGAAGUCUGCCAAAGCUAGCAGGCCUCUACAUAAAUAAUUGCGCUGAAUUGCAGCAUAUUAUCAGAGAAGAGGCUGGUGAAAGGGAAAUAAUUCAAGAGUCUCCUGGCUUCCCAGAAUUAAAAACUAUCAUCAUAGAAGAGUGUGGUAAACUGGAAUAUGUCUUCCCUGUAUCUGUGUCUCCAAGCCUUCUGAACCUGGAAGAGAUGCGGAUUUUUAAAGCUCAUAAUUUAAAGCAAAUAUUUUACAGUGUAGAAGGAGAUGCACUCACCACAGAUGGCAUCAUCAAGUUCCCUAAGCUAAGAAAAUUGUCUAUUUCAAAUUGCAGCUUCUUUGGUCCAAAGAAUUUUGCUGCCCAAUUGCCUUCCUUGCAAUAUCUAAAAAUUGAUGGCCACAAAGAAUUGGGAAAUUUGUCUGCACAGAUCCAAGUACGUCCUUUAUAUUUCUCCAAUAAUUUUUUUCCUUUUUAAUCUAAAUUGUCAACUUCAAUACAUGUUGAUUUCUUCCUUUAAAUUUCUGAAACUGAAGUAAUUGAUAAGUGGAGAUGAAUCCUUUAGCCAUCCACUAAAUUGAAAAGGAGUUGUCUAAUUGUAUCAUUCCUUGUCUCUUGAUAGAGGGCUUAAGAAGUAAGAAAUUAAUUAUUGUAAUGAAAUGAUAUCCAGAUUUUUCAAUCUUUAUGCUUUCCCAGUUUGAGUGAAAUUGAGGCUCUUCCCCCAAUUAAUGGAAGUAUUUGAAGAGGAAGAUAAACCUCCAUCUGCUAAUAUUGAGUUGAUUGUUUCAGUCCUGCAGCUUAUGAUUUCAUAUUCCCAUGCCUUGUUGCCAUGUCUACUUCUAUCCUUUUGUUGAUAAGUUUUUUUGCUGAAGUUUUAUAUGGACAAUUCGUUCAUCUAUUUACCAAAAUUAUAUAGUUCAAAAGUGCACAAAAUUUCUUUUGAUGCAGGGGUUGACAAAUUUGAAAACAUUACGCUUGAAGUCUCUGCCUGACAUGAGUUGUAUAUGGAAGGGUCUCGUGCUGAGCAAAUUGACUACUUUGGAGGUAACCUAUCUGGAUAAAAAUUAGACAAGUUUGUCCACUAAAACAACUUUGCACGUAAUAAAAAAUGUUUUUUAUACAAAAGUACAUCAAAUAACUUCACAAAAAAAUUAUUAACAUAUAAGAGCAUAAAUUUUGUGUUGAAAAUUAUUAUUACAAUAUCUUUAAAAAUUUAUUAACUUUAUAACUAAAAUAAAAAUAUUAGUUACUAUUUUUAUUUUUAUUUUUUACAUGAAACUAAUUAUUAGGAGUUGUAGUAACCUUUUUUCGCAAAAAUCUAAUUAUUAUUUAACUUAUCUCUAAUUAAGAAAAAAACUGAAACAAUAAUAUGUAAUCUCUAAAAAGUAUGUAAUCCUGUUUUUUCUUCUUUUUUUCCCAUCAUAUAAAUUGUUUUCAUGAGUGAAAAAAUAUAAUAUUGUUCUCUGAUCAGAUGGCCGUCCAUGGGCAGCAAAACGACUUCUUACAAAGAUUAAAAUAUGUAGAAGUGGACGAUUGUGGGGAUGUUCGCGCUCCGUUUCCAGCAAAAUUGCUGCGAGCUUUGAAAAUUCUAAGCAGUGUGCAAAUUGAGGACUGCAAAUCAUUGGAAGAGGUAUUUGAAUUGGGUGAGCCUUAUGAAGGAAGCAGUGAGGAGAAGGAGCUGCCGCUUCCAUCAUCUUUAACCUGGUUACGGCUGUACCAGUUACCUGAGCUCAAAUGCAUAUGGAAAGGGCCUACCAGCCAUGUCAGCCUCCAAAGUCUUGCUUAUCUGUAUUUGAAUUCUCUGGACAAACUGACAUUUAUCUUUACACCGUCCCUCGUUCAGAGUCUACCACAGCUAGAAAGCCUUCACAUAAAUAAAUGCGGUGAAUUGAAGCAUAUUAUCAGAGAAGAGGAUGGUGAAAGGGAAAUAAUUCCAGAGCCUCCUUGCUUCCCAAAAUUAAAAACUAUCAGCAUAAAAGAGUGUGGUAAACUGGAAUAUGUCUUCCCUGUAUCUGUGUCUCCAAGCCUUCUGAACCUGGAAGAGAUGCAGAUUUUUGAAGCUCAUAAUUUAAAGCAAAUAUUUUACAGUGGAGAAGGAGAUGCACUCACCAGAGAUGCCAUCAUCAAGUUCCCUAAGCUAAGAAGAUUGUCUCUUUCAAAUUGCAGCUUCUUUGC